rnacentral:lncRNA from 1 species
UUCAAACAUAAUUCUUUUAUUUCUUCUUUUGAUUUUUCCUAAUUUCAUUUUUACACGCUCUAUUUUUUUUAUGGGUAAGUCUCGCACCAAAUGCAAAAUAAAGAAAAAUGCGCAAAAUUGACCAGGGCUCCCAGUGAAAUUGAGCAGAGAUUGUUGGGCGUUCACCACCUUGACAAGGACAGGGAGCCAAUUAAGAUAAGUGUUA